rnacentral:rRNA from 1 species
UACGUAGGGGACUAGCGUUGUCCGGAUUUAUUGGGCGUAAAGAGUGUGUAGGCGGCCAGAUAGGUCCGUUGUGAAAACUGGAGGCUUAACCUCCAGCUGUCGAUGGAAACCAUCUGGCUAGAGUCCGGAAGAGGAGAGUGGAAUUCCUGGUGUAGCGGUGAAAUGCGCAGAUAUCAGGAAGAACACCCGUGGCGAAAGCGGCUCUCUGGGACGGUACUGACGCUGAGACGCGAAAGCGUGGGGAGCGAACAGG